AAAAGCCCUGCCGUGUCUUCUUCUCCACACCUCUCCCUGGUUCUAUUCUGUUGGCUUGUUCGCCCCCAAAACUCAAACCAUGUCGAGCUAGGGUUUUACAUGAGGCAACAGCUCCGCAGCAGCUCCAAUCCUCCACUCGAAAUACCCUUCUGUUGAAGAUUGUGGGUCAGCACGGGGACGACGGGUGGCCGGAGGGACUUGGGACAGCAAUGGUGGCGACUCCGGCGGCGGCUUCAGUGCCACUAAGCUCACGAUUGAUGCCUCCCCAAUAUUGAUUUGCUACCAGGUUUGCUUCACCAGUGGCUUCAUCAUCCUAGGCUGCCCAAGUCAGUGCAUAAUUCAUGGUUGUCCAGCAUGCAUAUCAGUGCAUUUUUCUUUCAAGUUCUGCCACCAAUGCAGCACAUGGUACUGAUUGAGAUGAUGAAUCUGCCUUGCGUCAGCAUGUAGAUCCCAUAAGCACGACAAAUUUGACACUAGAAUUGAUAUGAUUGGAAGACAUAAGAUUUAUUCAUCAUAGUCUUGCACGGCUGCUUAAUUUGGCCUUCUUAUAGUUGUUUAGUGUGUCUGGUUGAAAUUGAUGAUUUCUGCAAGUAGUAAAAUUUCAUUUAUGUGAUACAGUCAAAGGUUCAUGUAACUCAUAAAGAUGUGGUUGUCAAUCUGUAAACUUUGUAAUGAUCAAAUGCAAUGUGAUUUAAAAUUUAGCUGA